rnacentral:lncRNA from 1 species
CCAUCGAAUAAGAUGUUUAUUAAUGAAAGCUAUUUAUCAUACAAGAAACAGCAAAGAGAAGUCAUCAUACAGAGAUGCACACUAGAAGUGACAGAUGGGACAGUGCAUGCAGAGAUUUCUGUUUCAGAAGGAAGGAAUGAACAAUAAUGCUAAAAUUACUGGGGUCUGAUCCCUAGCCUCUUAAAUGAGUGAUAGCUUUUCUUUGAAUUUACAGUUGGAAAAUGUCAUUAACAGAUAGGACUAAAACACAUUAGCAAGCAGGUGAAAUGAAUGCUUUUGGACUUUAUUUUACAAGUACUGUGCUUGACAAAUGUGUGGGAUUUUUUUUUUCCAAGAAUAAUUUUCUUCAGCUAUGGGGUGGGCAUAUUACUGCCUGGCUGCUCUGGUUUAUACACGGUUUGUCUCACUUUGUUUAAAAUCAUAUAAUUUUAAGCCUCCAUUUGUGUUAGACAUCAUAAAGAACAGAAGUUUUGUUAACAUUCAGUAAAUGACAUUUAAGUCUCUUGG